CAAUAAGCGGAGGAAAAGAAACUAACAAGGAUUCCCCUAGUAACUGCGAGUGAAGCGGGAAAAGCUCAAAUUUAAAAUCUGGCGGUCUUUGGCUGUCCGAGUUGUAAUCUAGAGAAGUGUUAUCCGCGCUGGACCGUGUACAAGUCUCCUGGAAUGGAGCGUCAUAGAGGGUGAGAAUCCCGUCUUUGACACGGACUGCCAGUGCUUUGUGAUGCGCUCUCAAAGAGUCGAGUUGUUUGGGAAUGCAGCUCAAAAUGGGUGGUAAAUUCCAUCUAAAGCUAAAUAUUGGCGAGAGACCGAUAGCGAACAAGUACCGUGAGGGAAAGAUGAAAAGAACUUUGGAAAGAGAGUUAAACAGUACGUGAAAUUGUUGAAAGGGAAACGCUUGAAGUCAGUCGCGUUGGCCGGGGAUCAACCUUGCUUUUGCUGGGUGUACUUUCCGGUUGAUGGGUCAGCAUCAAUUUUGACCGUUGGAUAAAGUCCAGGGGAAUGUGGCAUCUUCGGAUGUGUUAUAGCCCUUGGUCGCAUACAACGAUUGGGAUUGAGGAACUCAGCACGCCGCAAGGCCGAGAAUUUAUUCUACGUUCGUGCUUAGGAUGCUGGCAUAAUGGCUUUAAUCGACCCGUCUUGAAACACGGACCAAGGAGUCUAACAUGCCUGCGAGUGUUUGGGUGGAAAACCCGAGCGCGUAAUGAAAGUGAAAGUUGAGAUCCCUGUCGCGGGGAGCAUCGACGCCCGGACCAGACCUUUUGUGACGGCUCCGCGGUAGAGCAUGUAUGUUGGGACCCGAAAGAUGGUGAACUAUGCCUGAAUAGGGUGAAGCCAGAGGAAACUCUGGUGGAGGCUCGUAGCGAUUCUGACGUGCAAAUCGAUCGUCAAAUUUGGGUAUAGGGGCGAAAGACUAAUCGAACCAU
rnacentral:rRNA from 1 species